rnacentral:rRNA from 1 species
GGCUAUUGCAGUCGAGCGGGGGAAGGUAGCUUGCUACUGGACCUAGCGGCGGACGGGUGAGUAAUGCUUAGGAAUCUGCCUAUUAGUGGGGGACAACAUCUCGAAAGGGAUGCUAAUACCGCAUACGUCCUACGGGAGAAAGCAGGGGAUCUUCGGACCUUGCGCUAAUAGAUGAGCCUAAGUCGGAUUAGCUAGUUGGUGGGGUAAAGGCCUACCAAGGCGACGAUCUGUAGCGGGUCUGAGAGGAUGAUCCGCCACACUGGGACUGAGACACGGCCCAGACUCCUACGGAGGCCAGCAGUAAAAAACAAUGGGGGGAACCCUGAUCCAGCCAUGCCGCGUGUGUGAAGAAGGCCUUAUGGUUGUAAAGCACUUUAAGCGAGGAGGAGGCUACUUUAGUUAAUACCUAGAGAUAGUGGACGUUACUCGCAGAAUAAGCACCGGCUAACUCUGUGCCAGCAGCCGCGGUAAUACAGAGGGUGCGAGCGUUAAUCGGAUUUACUGGGCGUAAAGCGUGCGUAGGCGGCUUAUUAAGUCGGAUGUGAAAUCCCCGAGCUUAACUUGGGAAUUGCAUUCGAUACUGGUGAGCUAGAGUAUGGGAGAGGAUGGUAGAAUUCCAGGUGUAGCGGUGAAAUGCGUAGAGAUCUGGAGGAAUACCGAUGGCGAAGGCAGCCAUCUGGCCUAAUACUGACGCUGAGGUACGAAAGCAUGGGGAGCAAACAGGAUUAGAUACCCUGGUAGUCCAUGCCGUAAACGAUGUCUACUAGCCGUUGGGGCCUUUGAGGCUUUAGUGGCGCAGCUAACGCGAUAAGUAGACCGCCUGGGGAGUACGGUCGCAAGACUAAAACUCAAAUGAAUUGACGGGGGCCCGCACAAGCGGUGGAGCAUGUGGUUUAAUUCGAUGCAACGCGAAGAACCUUACCUGGCCUUGACAUACUAGAAACUUUCCAGAGAUGGAUUGGUGCCUUCGGGAAUCUAGAUACAGGUGCUGCAUGGCUGUCGUCAGCUCGUGUCGUGAGAUGUUGGGUUAAGUCCCGCAACGAGCGCAACCCUUUUCCUUACUUGCCAGCAUUUCGGAUGGGAACUUUAAGGAUACUGCCAGUGACAAACUGGAGGAAGGCGGGG